rnacentral:rRNA from 1 species
AUUGAACGCUGGCGGCAGGCCUAACACAUGCAAGUCGAACGGUAACAGGAAACAGCUUGCUGUUUCGCUGACGAGUGGCGGACGGGUGAGUAAUGUCUGGGAAACUGCCUGAUGGAGGGGGAUAACUACUGGAAACGGUAGCUAAUACCGCAUAACGUCGCAAGACCAAAGAGGGGGACCUUCGGGCCUCUUGCCAUCGGAUGUGCCCAGAUGGGAUUAGCUAGUAGGUGGGGUAACGGCUCACCUAGGCGACGAUCCCUAGCUGGUCUGAGAGGAUGACCAGCCACACUGGAACUGAGACACGGUCCAGACUCCUACGGGAGGCAGCAGUGGGGAAUAUUGCACAAUGGGCGCAAGCCUGAUGCAGCCAUGCCGCGUGUAUGAAGAAGGCCUUCGGGUUGUAAAGUACUUUCAGCGGGGAUGAAGGGAGUAAAGUUAAUACCUUUACUCAUUGACGUUACCCGCAGAAGAAGCACCGGCUAACUCCGUG